rnacentral:rRNA from 1 species
UGGCUGGACAAGUCCGUUGGGAAAUCUGCCCGCUUAACGGGCAGGCGUCCAGCGGAAACUGUUCAGCUUGGGACCGGAAGACCUGAGGGGUACGUCUGGGGUAGGAGUGAAAUCCCGUAAUCCUGGACGGACCGCCGGUGGCGAAAGCGCCUCAGGAGGACGGAUCCGACAGUGAGGGACGAAAGCUAGGGUCUCGAACCGGAUUAGAUACCCGGGUAGUCCUAGCUGUAAACGAUGCCCGCUAGGUGUGGCGCAGGCUACGAGCCUGCGCUGUGCCGUAGGGAAGCCGAGAAGCGGGCCGCCUGGGAA